rnacentral:rRNA from 1 species
CGAAGUGGUUGAUGCCAUGCUUCCAAGAAAAGCUUCUAAGCUUCAGGUAACCAGGAACCGUACCCCAAACCGACACAGGUGGUUGGGUAGAGAAUACCAAGGCGCUUGAGAGAACUCGGGUGAAGGAACUAGGCAAAAUGGCACCGUAACUUCGGGAGAAGGUGCGCCGGUGAGGGUGAAGGACUUGCUCCGUAAGCUCAUGCCGGUCGAAGAUACCAGGCCGCUGCGACUGUUUAUUAAAAACACAGCACUCUGCAAACACGAAAGUGGACGUAUAGGGUGUGACGCCUGCCCGGUGCCGGAAGGUUAAUUGAUGGGGUUAGCUAACGCGAAGCUCUUGAUCGAAGCCCCGGUAAACGGCGGCCGUAACUAUAACGGUCCUAAGGUAGCGAAAUUCCUUGUCGGGUAAGUUCCGUCCUGCACGAAUGGCGUAACGAUGGCGGCGCUGGCUCCACCCGAGACUCAGUGAAAUUGAAAUCGCUGUGAAGAUGCAGUGUAUCCGCGGCUAGACGGAAAGACCCCGUGAACCUUUACUAUAGCUUUGCACUGGACUUUGAAUUUGCUUGUGUAGGAUAGGUGGGAGGCUUUGAAGCGUGGACGCCAGUCUGCGUGGAGCCAUCCUUGAAAUACCACCCUGGCAACUUUGAGGUUCUAACUCAGGUCCGUUAUCCGGAUCGAGGACAGUGUAUGGUGGGUAGUUUGACUGGGGCGGUCUCCUCCUAAAGAGUAACGGAGGAGUACGAAGGUGCGCUCAGACCGGUCGGAAAUCGGUCGUAGAGUAUAAAGGCAAAAGCGCGCUUGACUGCGAGACAGACACGUCGAGCAGGUACGAAAGUAGGUCUUAGUGAUCCGGUGGUUCUGUAUGGAAGGGCCAUCGCUCAACGGAUAAAAGGUACUCCGGGGAUAACAGGCUGAUACCGCCCAAGAGUUCAUAUCGACGGCGGUGUUUGGCACCUCGAUGUCGGCUCAUCACAUCCUGGGGCUGAAGCCGGUCCCAAGGGUAUGGCUGUUCGCCAUUUAAAGUGGUACGCGAGCUGGGUUUAGAACGUCGUGAGACAGUUCGGUCCCUAUCUGCCGUGGACGUUUGAGAUUUGAGAGGGGCUGCUCCUAGUACGAGAGGACCGGAGUGGACGAACCUCUGGUGUUCCGGUUGUCACGCCAGUGGCAUUGCCGGGUAGCUAUGUUCGGAAUAGAUAACCGCUGAAAGCAUCUAAGCGGGAAACUAGCCUCAAGAUGAGAUCUCACUGGAACCUUGAGUUCCCUGAAGGGCCGUCGAAGACUACGACGUUGAUAGGUUGGGUGUGUAAGCGCUGUGAGGCGUUGAGCUAACCAAUACUAAUUGCCCGUGAGGCUUGACCAUAUAACACCCAAGCAAUU